rnacentral:rRNA from 1 species
UACGUAGGGUGCAAGCGUUAAUCGGAAUUACUGGGCGUAAAGCGUGCGUAGGCGGUUGUUUAAGUCUGCUGUGAAAUCCCCGGGCUCAACCUGGGAAUGGCAGUGGAUACUGGACAGCUAGAGUGUGUCAGAGGAUGGUGGAAUUCCCGGUGUAGCGGUGAAAUGCGUAGAGAUCGGGAGGAACAUCAGUGGCGAAGGCGGCCAUCUGGGACAACACUGACGCUGAAGCACGAAAGCGUGGGGAGCAAACAGG